AUGGACGCGAGUCCAAAGGAGUCUCAGAUUCGUUCCCCAAAAGCUGACCGUAUAGUUCUUUUUAAUAGUAAAACAGAUUCUAAUGACAAUCAGAAUAGUGCUGAACCGGACAGAAAUACUGAAUUUGCUGUAGUUCAUUAUUCACGCGAACCAGAUUAUUGCCGAGACCUAAUCAGAGGAUCUAUGCGCCCUCAAAGGCGUAAAACAGUAACUUAUAAACUCUUUCAAGGAACUGCACACUCCCCUCUUUUUUUGGAGAUAAUGGGCGACUACGCGUUCUUGUUUGGUGAUCUUGUCUAUGAUAUCUCCCAAUAUUUGAAAGAAUAUUUCAGGAAACCGGGUACUGAUAAUUCGGAAUUUUUGGCGUUUGAGAAAACGAUAGAACAGAAAGAGAUAGAGGAAAACAAAGACGAGUCUGAAAUAAGACUUAGACAAAUCGAAGAAGCCUGGGAGAGCAUUCUCUAUGAAGAUUUGAGGGAUUGGAGAAAAGAAGUCCAUAUUUACUGCACCUAUCAGGGCGUUCCAGUAUCUCACACCGCGUUGCCAACAAACUGGUUCUGGGAGGGUAUUCAGAUAAGGAUCUUAUUCCCUUUUGUUCUGAAACCGUGGCACAAUAAGUUUUAUGGAAACAAAAACAUUACUGAUGUAGCCAAGUUAAAGUUAGAAAAGAAAGAAUACGGGAAGCAAGCAGAUCUCAAAUCAUAUCUCUCAAACUAUUAUAGGGACACUCGGUAUAGUAUAACUAGAUACAGGAAGGAUCUAAAUGGCGAACAAAAUUUCUUACUAG